rnacentral:rRNA from 1 species
AUACGGAGGAUGCGAGCGUUAUCCGGAUUUAUUGGGUUUAAAGGGAGUGUAGGCGGGAGCUUAAGUCAGCGGUUAAAUGGUGCGGCUCAACCGUGCCCUGCCGUUGAAACUGGGUUUCUUGAGAGUGCAAGAGGCGGAUGGAAUUUCUGGGGUAGCGGGUGAAUGCUUAGAUAUCAUGAAGAACUCCGAUUGCGAAGGCAGUCCGCUGGGGCACGUCUGACGCUGAUGCUCGAAGGUGCGGGAAUCAAACAGGAUUAGAUACCCUGGUAGUCCGCACGGUAAACGAUGAUUACCCGCUGUCGGCGGUAGACAGUCGGCGGCCAAGCGAAAGCGAUAAGUAAUCCACCUGGGGAAUACGCCGGCAACGGUGAAACUCAAAGGAAUUGACGGGG